AUCAAUAUGAAUAUGAUGUUAGUUCAGAUCCAACGCUAUACAGGGACAUUACACAUGCUAGUACGUAUAUACGUGCGAACGGGUGAGUAGUUAUGGGAGAAUAUAGAAACUCCUAACGGAUGUAGGUAGUAGUAUUUUUAUUAAUACUAGCCGUUGACCCGUAGUCGGGGGUGGAAGCCCGAACGAUCACAUAGACUAUAAUAGGUCUACUACUCUUAGUAGCAGCAGUGGGGAAUCAUUGGCAAUGACCUAACGGUUGACCAUGUCACCUGUAUGAGCCUUAUCGAUAUACCAAAUAAAAAGAUUAUAUUUUUAUAUAAUUAAAUAAAUAAGUAAUGAACGAUAAAUUAAGCUCAAUAUAUAUUAAAAUAAUGAUUAAAUAUAUAGUUAGUCCUGACCCAGUUGGUGUGCCAGCAGUCGCGGUCACACAUCCAGGGCUAGCGUUGGUCACCCUUGGCAUAAAGGAUCAGUAGGCGUAAUAAAAUAUAGCAUGUUAAUAAAUUAAUUCAUGAAUUGCUGCUUGAGAGAUUAAAUACUAUGACAGCAGUAGGACAGCAAACAGGAUUAAUAUAACAUGGACGCUGAGGGAUGAAAGCUACGGUAACGAAGGGGAUUCGAUACCCCCCUAGUCGUAGCUGUAAACGAUGUCCAUUCGAAUAUUUUAGCAAAGCUAAGGCGUAAAAUGGACCGCCAGGCUAGUACGCUCGCAAGAGUGAAAUGCAAGACAUUAGACGGUUGGGUACAGUAGCAGUGGAGCAUACUGUUUAAUUGGUCGAUACCCCCUAAACCUUACCUACUCUUGAAUAAGUAUUAGAAAUAAUAUUUACAGGCGUUACAUUGCUGUCGUCAGUUCAUGCUCAGUGGCUUACUAUUCAGUUAGUUAAUGAACGCAACCCUUCACGCCUGUCCGCCGCAGUGUAACUGCGGCGGACCGGCGUUGUGAAUACCUUACUAGGUGUCGGAAGCUAGGGAUAACGACUAGUCCGCAUGACCCUUAUGAGUUGGGCUACAGGUGUGCUACAAACGUGUAUACAAUAUAUAUAUAUUAAUAUUAUAUAUUUUUAUGAAAGUACAUGAUUAUGAAAGUUUCUUUUAAUUGGAUUAUUUCCUGCAACGGAUUUAUGAAAGCGGAAUUGCUAGUAAUGGUGGACUAGAGUGCCACCGUGAAUAUACCAUACCCUUCGUACUAAUCACUCAUCAAUAGCACAGUAGUACAAAUAUUAUUGACUAAUAUAAUAUUAUUUAUAUAAGGAUCUAAUAUUUGUCUCAUGUGCUAUAAGUUGAAAUACAGUUCCGGUAGGGGAACCUGCCGGGGAUAUAUUAAUUUA
rnacentral:rRNA from 1 species